GGCCGCGAAUUCGCCCUUAGAGUUUGAUUAUGGCUCAGGACGAACGCUGGCGGCGUGCCUAAUACAUGCAAGUCGAACGCUUCUUUUCCCACCGGAGCUUGCUCCACCGGGAAAAGAGGAGUGGCGAACGGGUGAGUAACACGUGAGUAACCUGCCCAUCAGAAGGGGAUAACACUUGGAAACAGGUGCUAAUACCGUAUAAUAAUCGAAACCGCAUGGUUUCGGUUUGAAAGGCGCUUUACGGUGCCGCUGAUGGAUGGACCCGCGGUGCAUUAGCUAGUUGGUGAGGUAACGGCUCACCAAGGCCACGAUGCAUAGCCGACCUGAGAGGGUGAUCGGCCACAUUGGGACUGAGACACGGCCCAAACUCCUACGGGAGGCAGCAGUAGGGAAUCUUCGGCAAUGGACGAAAGUCUGACCGAGCAACGCCGCGUGAGUGAAGAAGGUUUUCGGAUCGUAAAACUCUGUUGUUAGAGAAGAACAAGGGUGAGAGUAACUGUUCACCCCUUGACGGUAUCUAACCAGAAAGCCACGGCUAACUACGUGCCAGCAGCCGCGGUAAUACGUAGGUGGCAAGCGUUGUCCGGAUUUAUUGGGCGUAAAGCGAGCGCAGGCGGUUUCUUAAGUCUGAUGUGAAAGCCCCCGGCUCAACCGGGGAGGGUCAUUGGAAACUGGGAGACUUGAGUGCAGAAGAGGAGAGUGGAAUUCCAUGUGUAGCGGUGAAAUGCGUANAUAUAUGGAGGAACACCAGUGGCGAA
rnacentral:rRNA from 1 species